UAGAUCACCGAAGUUAAGCAACGUUGAGCUUGGUCAGUACCUAGAUGGGUAACCACUUGGGAAUACCAGGUGAUGCAA